CUCCCCGGGGCAAAGGCCAAGAUUUAAUUUAUUUUUAUUUUUUUUUUUUUUCUUUGGAACCCCCUUCUAUCAUGAUAGUUCAAUGUCACGAUCCACCCAAUCGUUUCUGUUUAAAAAGAUAGUUCCUUCCUUCUCCUCGCCUCUCUGGCACAGCAUCGAAAGAGAUGACACUCUUUCUGGCGGCGCUGUUAGUUCGUCUCGAUCUACUAGACAGAGAGACGAACGAGACCUCAGCCUGCUAACUAGCCUAUGCGGAGGUAUACCUCCGCAGCUAGCUUCUUAGAGGGACUAUGGCGUUUAGGCCACA
rnacentral:rRNA from 1 species